rnacentral:misc_RNA from 1 species
UCUGAUUAUUUUUUAACCGAGUGAAGGAACUGCCGAGAUCUUGCUAGUCAAUAUCUGUCGAUGUGUCCUUUGACGAGUGUGUUUCGAAGUUUCAAAAUGUGAUAAUCAUAUCUACAGCAAUUCGACAUUUUUGGUUACUGUAGGUAGCCAUCUAUAUUAUUAUUAUUUUUUUUUUUUACAAUUUUGAUUUAAUGACACUUGUCUUAGUUUAGAGUUUAUUUUGUAAAUGCCUUAUUUAUUCUGUGUUUUGAAUUAUUAUAAUUAUAUUAAAUGUUCUACUGUUGAAGUGUUCAAGCUAU